rnacentral:rRNA from 1 species
AUUGAACGCCGGCGGCAUGCUUUACACAUGCAAGUCGAACGGCAGCGCGGGCUUCGGCCUGGCGGCGAGUGGCGAACGGGUGAGUAAUACAUCGGAACGUGCCCAGUAGUGGGGGAUAGCUCGGCGAAAGCCGGAUUAAUACCGCAUACGACCUGAGGGUGAAAGCGGGGGAUCUUCGGACCUCGCGCUAUUGGAGCGGCCGAUGGCAGAUUAGCUAGUUGGUGGGGUAAAGGCCUACCAAGGCGACGAUCUGUAGCUGGUCUGAGAGGACGACCAGCCACACUGGGACUGAGACACGGCCCAGACUCCUACGGGAGGCAGCAGUGGGGAAUUUUGGACAAUGGGCGAAAGCCUGAUCCAGCAAUGCCGCGUGUGUGAUGAAGGCCUUCGGGUUGUAAAGCACUUUUGGCGGGAACGAAAAGGACUGUGCCGAUACCACGGUUCGAUGACGGUACCCGCAGAAUAAGCACCGGCUAACUACGUG